GAUGAACGCUGGCGGCGUGCCUAAUACAUGCAAGUCGAGCGAACGGACGAGAAGCUUGCUUCUCUGAUGUUAGCGGCGGACGGGUGAGUAACACGUGGAUAACCUACCUAUAAGACUGGGAUAACUUCGGGAAACCGGAGCUAAUACCGGAUGAUAUUUUGAACCGCAUGGUUCAAAAGUGAAAGACGGUCUUGCUGUCACUUAUAGAUGGAUCCGCGCUGCAUUAGCUAGUUGGUAAGGUAACGGCUUACCAAGGCAACGAUGCAUAGCCGACCUGAGAGGGUGAUCGGCCACACUGGAACUGAGACACGGUCCAGACUCCUACGGGAGGCAGAAGUAGGGAAUCUUCCGAAAUGGGCGAAAGCCUGACGGAGAAACGCCGCGUGAGUGAUGAAGGUCUUCGGAUCGUAAAACUCUGUUAUUAGGGAAGAACAUAUGUGUAAGUAACUGUGCACAUCUUGACGGUACCUAAUCAGAAAGCCACGGCUAACUACGUG
rnacentral:rRNA from 1 species